rnacentral:rRNA from 1 species
UGGGGAAUAUUGGACAAUGGGCGCAAGCCUGAUCCAGCCAUGCCGCGUGAGUGAUGAAGGCCCUAGGGUUGUAAAGCUCUUUCACCGGUGUAGAUAAUGACGGUAACCGGAGAAGAAGCCCCGGCUAACUUCGUGCCAGCAGCCGCGGUAAUACGAAGGGGGCUAGCGUUGUUCGGAUUUACUGGGCGUAAAGCGCACGUAGGCGGACUUUUAAGUCAGGGGUGAAAUCCCGGGGCUCAACCCCGGAACUGCCUUUGAUACUGGAAGUCUUGAGUAUGGUAGAGGUGAGUGGAAUUCCGAGUGUAGAGGUGAAAUUCGUAGAUAUUCGGAGGAACACCAGUGGCGAAGGCGGCUCACUGGACCAUUACUGACGCUGAGGUGCGAAAGCGUGGGGAGCAAACAGG